UGGCUGAGUGGUAAAGAGCACUGAAUGUUCUUUCAGAGGACCUGGGUUCAAUUCCCAG
rnacentral:tRNA from 1 species